UACGUAGGUUACAAGCGUUGUCCGGAUUUACUGGGCGUAAAGAGCGCGCAGGCGGUCGAUCAAGUCGAGUGUGAAAGCCCCCGGCUCAACUGGGGAGGGUCAUUCGAUACUGAUCGACUCGAAGGCAGGAGAGGGUAGUGGAAUUCCCGGUGUAGUGGUGAAAUGCGUAGAUAUCGGGAGGAACACCAGUGGCGAAGGCGGCUUCCUGGCCUGUUCUUGACGCUGAGGCGCGAAAGCUAGGGGAGCAAACGGG
rnacentral:rRNA from 1 species